rnacentral:rRNA from 1 species
CGAUGAUCAGGAGCUUGCUCCUGUGAUUAGUGGCGAACGGGUGAGUAACACGUGAGUAACCUGCCCCUGACUCUGGGAUAAGCGUUGGAAACGACGUCUAAUACUGGAUAUGAUCACUGGCCGCAUGGUCUGGUGGUGGAAAGAUUUUUUGGUUGGGGAUGGACUCGCGGCCUAUCAGCUUGUUGGUGAGGUAAUGGCUCACCAAGGCGACGACGGGUAGCCGGCCUGAGAGGGUGACCGGCCACACUGGGACUGAGACACGGCCCAGACUCCUACGGGAGGCAGCAGUGGGGAAUAUUGCACAAUGGGCGAAAGCCUGAUGCAGCAACGCCGCGUGAGGGAUGACGGCCUUCGGGUUGUAAACCUCUUUUAGUAGGGAAGAAGCGAAAGUGACGGUACCUGCAGAAAAAGCACCGGCUAACUACGUGCCAGCAGCCGCGGUAAUACGUAGGGUGCAAGCGUUGUCCGGAAUUAUUGGGCGUAAAGAGCUCGUAGGCGGUUUGUCGCGUCUGCUGUGAAAUCCCGAGGCUCAACCUCGGGCUUGCAGUGGGUACGGGCAGACUAGAGUGCGGUAGGGGAGAUUGGAAUUCCUGGUGUAGCGGUGGAAUGCGCAGAUAUCAGGAGGAACACCGAUGGCGAAGGCAGAUCUCUGGGCCGUAACUGACGCUGAGGAGCGAAAGCGUGGGGAGCGAACAGGAUUAGAUACCCUGGUAGUCCACGCCGUAAACGUUGGGCGCUAGAUGUAGGGACCUUUCCACGGUUUCUGUGUCGUAGCUAACGCAUUAAGCGCCCCGCCUGGGGAGUACGGCCGCAAGGCUAAAACUCAAAGGAAUUGACGGGGGCCCGCACAAGCGGCGGAGCAUGCGGAUUAAUUCGAUGCAACGCGAAGAACCUUACCAAGGCUUGACAUACACCGGAAACGGCCAGAGAUGGUCGCCCCCUUGUGGUCGGUGUACAGGUGGUGCAUGGUUGUCGUCAGCUCGUGUCGUGAGAUGUUGGGUUAAGUCCCGCAACGAGCGCAACCCUCGUUCUAUGUUGCCAGCGCGUUAUGGCGGGGACUCAUAGGAGACUGCCGGGGUCAACUCGGAGGAAGGUGGGGAUGACGUCAAUCAUCAUGCCCCUUAUGUCUUGGGCUUCACGCAUGCUACAAUGGCCGG